GACGAAGGUGGCGAGCGUUACUCGGAUUUACUAGGCGUAAAGCGUGAGCAGGCGGUUCGGUCAGUCUGUUGUGAAAGCUCCCGGCUCAACUGGGAGAGGCCAAUGGAUACUACCGAGCUUGAAUACGGGAGAGGUGACUGGAAUUCCUGGUGUAGCGGUGAAAUGCGUAGAUAUCAGGAGGAACACCUAUGGCGAAAGCAGGUCACUGGACCGUUAUUGACGCUCAUUCACGAAAGCUGGGGGAUCAAACAGG
rnacentral:rRNA from 1 species